CCUACGGGGUGCAGCAGUGAGGAAUAUUGGUCAAUGGACGAGAGUCUGAACCAGCCAAGUAGCGUGAAGGAUGACUGCCCUAUGGGUUGUAAACUUCUUUUAUAUGGGAAUAAAAUGUUCCACGUGUGGGAUUUUGUAUGUACCAUAUGAAUAAGGAUCGGCUAACUCCGUGCCAGCAGCCGCGGUAAUACGGAGGAUCCGAGCGUUAUCCGGAUUUAUUGGGUUUAAAGGGAGCGUAGGUGGAGUGUUAAGUCAGUUGUGAAAGUUUGCGGCUCAACCGUAAAAUUGCAGUUGAAACUGGCAGUCUUGAGUACAGUAGAGGUGGGCGGAAUUCGUGGUGUAGCGGUGAAAUACUUAGAUAUCACGAAGAACUCCGAUUGCGAAGGCAGUUCACUGGACUGCAACUGACACUGAGGCUCGAAAGUGUGGGUAUCAAACAGGAUUAGAUACCCUUGUAGUC
rnacentral:rRNA from 1 species